rnacentral:lncRNA from 1 species
AAUUAGAGGAUCAAUCAUCUUGUGACACUCGUCUUUGUUUUAUUUGCAAAAUUAAAUUACAAUUUGGACCAUCAGAAAAUUGACACAUGGCCUGGAUUUAGAUAUUUUUUCUCCUCUUCUUUUUCCCCCACGUUCCUUAUCUCAUAAUAUUUAAGACAUCAUUUGUUUUUUUUAAGAAGAAGAGCAUUUUUCUUCUUUGGAAAAAAACGUGAGAACAACAACAAAAGCUAACCAUCAUCUUC